AUUGCAGGGGAAUGAUCUAUACACUAAAACUGCUUUAUUUAGCUAAAGUAAUUUAGGUGACUAUAGCGUUCCUUUAAUUUGUGGUUUAACAGCCAUGGUUGGUCAGUUUUCACUGGGGCAAAACAAGGGACCACACACCGAGAGACGAACAAGGGGGUACGGACAACCGAACAUAGGGUGACGGAGUCUGCUACUGUUACAUACAUGUUCUCAAAUUCUCACCUUUACUAGCACAUAAGCAGAGAAAAAGUAAAAUGAAAGCAGGAUCUCCCCCUUAGAAUGUGUCGAAUUGAUAAA